CUCCUCUUGGGCCAAUCAGCACAUACGUUUUGGAGCAUAGUACAUGAAACAAGGAAGAAGCUCUUGCUUUGCCAGUGGCCGGCCUUGACCCAGAACGCCCAGACUGGUGUGACCACCAUGGAUUCGGCUGGGACAAAUACGGUGAACAUCCAGAGGCGGGUGACACAGUAGACUAUCCAGGUCACCUGUCCCCCAGGAUGUUUCUGCAGUGGCUCACAGGACAGGGCCACCUUCCUGUCUUACCAGAAGAGAAACUUCAGUCUCUGUGCAGUUCAACCACACCUGUGACAUCCUGUAUGGUUCACAUACAGUUUGCUACCCAACAGUCGCUGCAUGUUGUAAUACAAUCCACCUACCUGUUUAGCAUAUGCAAACUUCUACUGAGUUCAAACAAGUUGACAGAGGCCUUCCAUCUAGGGCAGGCAUUUCAUCAGGUUUAAGUGAAAUGUUUCAGUUUCAAAUAUGCAUAUACAGGGGCUGGUCAUAAAAUUAGAAUAUCAUCAAAAAGUUGAUUUAUUUCAGUAAUUCCAUUCAAAAUGUGGAACUUGUAUAAUGUAUACAUUCAUUCCACACAGACUUAUAUUUCAAGUGUUUAUUCAUUCAAAAAGUGAACCUUGUGUAAUGUAUACAUUCAUUCCACACAGACUGAUAUAUUUCAUAUAUUUCUUUUAAUUUUGAUGAUUAUAACCGACAACUAAUGAAAAUCACAAAUUCAGUAUCUCAGAAAAUUUGAAAAUUGUGAAAAGGUUCAAUAUUGAAGACACCUGGUGCCACACUCUAAUCAGCUAAUUAAUUCAAAACACCUGCAAAGACCUUUAAAUGGUCUCUCUUUGUAGUCUACAGAACUAGACUAUCAUGGGGAAGACUGCUGACUUGACAGCUGUCCAAAAGAUGACCACUGACACCUUGCACAAGGAGGGCACAAAAGUUCAUUGCUAAAGAGGCUGGCUGUUCACAAAGCUGUGUCCAAGCACAUUAAUAGAGGCAAAGGGAAGGAAAAGAUGUGGUAGAAAAAAGUGUACAAGCAAUAGGGAUAAUCGCACCCUGGAGAGGAUUGUGAAACAAAACCCAUUCAAAAAUGUGGGGGAGAUUCACAAAGAGUGGACUGCAGCUGGAGUCAGUGCUUCAAGAACCACCACGCAAACAUAUGCAAGACAUGGGUUUCUGCUGUCGCAUUCCCUGCGUCAAGCCACUCUUGAACAAGACACAGCGUCAGAAGCGUCUUGCCUGGGAGAGGACUGGACUGCUGCUGAGUAGUCCAAAG
ensembl:lncRNA